GACAGAGGGUGCAAACGUUGCUCGGAAUUACUGGGCGUAAAGGGCGUGUAGGCGGGAAGGCAAGUCGGGCGUGAAAUCCCCAAGCUCAACUUGGGAACUGCACUCGAAACUACCUUUCUUGAGUGUCGGAGAGGAAAGCGGAAUUCCUGGUGUAGAGGUGAAAUUCGUAGAUAUCAGGAGGAACUCCAGUGGCGAAGGCGGCUUUCUGGACGAUGACUGACGCUGAGACGCGAAAGCGUGGGGAGCAAACAGG
rnacentral:rRNA from 1 species